rnacentral:lncRNA from 1 species
UUAGAAAAGUUUUGUAUAUAUAGUGUGGUUGAGUAUCGACAAAAUUGUCACAUAAAAUAUGUCGUGAAAACCCUUUUGAUACAAUAGUUUGAGUGAAAAUUUAUUAAUAGUUAUACAUUAAGAAAUUUGAGUCUCUAAUUCCAAAAAAAUGAAUUAUUCAAAUUAAUAGAGAAAAAUAUUACAAAAAAUCUUCAACAUAAUAUAAAAACAAUCCAUGUAAACCCAUCUUAUCCCGCGAAAUCUGUGAGGAAGAUCCAGAGUCUUAUUGAUUAUAGAUACAUUUAAGGAUUUGCUAAGGUCCGAAAUCAUUUGCCAAAACAAGAAAAAUAAUAUUGCAAAAGAAAAAAAAAGUAUGGCGUUUUGAUAUUUAAGUACAACCCUUUUCUAAUAGAUUUCUUUCUUUUUUUUUGCCACCCCUUUUAUAGUAAUUAAAGGUCCAAAAUCAUUUGCCAAAACA